GGGGAUCCCACAGUCUCAUGUUCUUUCUGAUGUUUUAAAGCACACUUUGGCAAUCUAGGAGCUGGCAGAGUCACCCACAGCUUUUAAACAGCACGGAUGAGAAAGUAGCCAUGUUUCUGUUGUGUUUUGGAAAUACAGGAUAAAACACUCCCUACAUAAUACAUGUUUUGAUGACUUCAAGGCUUAAGGAAGACGGAUCUAAAAGGGAUCCCCUUGCUGCAUCAUAACAGAGGAAGCAACAGCUUGUCAGGAGAAUAACUUGAAUGAAAGGAAGUAACUAAUCCAAUGAUGGACUGAUGACACCUUUGAUGCAGUACAAGGCUGCAGGAAAGAUCGAUUGGCUCAGUGCAAGAUGAAGAAUAGUCCUACUGCCAGCAGUCGCUGCCUGCCUGAGACCCAAACUGGUUGCACACAGGUCUGCCUCCAAAAGAAAAAGGUGCUGUUUGCCAGACUUCAGAUAAAAUCUAGCUGGGAGGAAUUUCAGAUGGUUGAUCCAUGAAGCCAGUGGGCUUAGGACUUGAGGUUGCCAGUUGUUUCAUUUUAAAUACCAGAGACUUGAACACCAUGCAGGAAACAAUGACUUCAACCAUAGCUGGCCAAAAUCAAGUUCAAAAUGGCAACCUUGCAGGCAUUGCUCUUGUGUCACGACAGCUCUGCUUGCACGGGAGCACCAGCCCAGAGAGCCAGUCUGCUGAGAAUUACCCAACGCAGAGAUGAGCCCAACAGAGCCCUGGAGGGGCUUGGGAUUUAGCAGAAGCACAUCAGUCUCUUUCCCUGCUCUUUGGUUACUCAGUCAUCCUUUUGCACGUCCACAGGAAGAUCUGAGCCUGCCUGUUCCCUUCUCUCUGAAGAAUGUCCUGAAUGGAGUUUGUUGUCAACACAGAUUUCAGGACAAAGAAGGGAGAUCUUUGAAAAUGUAAACUGGAGCACGGUGCCUAACUCUGUUAACUGUUAGUGGGAGCAAGCACAUUACUGUCCUUUGUGCUUUUAAAAAGUCAUCCUGGGUGUUAUUUAUCAGAUUAAGGUUUUAACAUGAAUAGUUUGACUCUUGCCAGUCUGUCUAUUCAACCCACCAGGAAGGAGGAAGAGCUUGAGUUUUGCACUUGGAUUAUCCUCGAGAAAUGUUCAUGGUUAAAAAAAAUACUCAUGGAGUCUAUGUUUAAAUCUACAUCCAGCACUAUGCAAAUAUUUGCACGCUGUAACUUAACUUGACAUAAAUCAGGGUUCUUGUCAAUGAAUUGUUUGAUUAAUCAGUGGCUUAAUUUUUGCAUCAGAGCAGGAGAGAGAAAAACAAUCCAAAACAGCUGUGUGAUUGAUUUUUUCCCCCUCCAGACCAGCCCAAAGUACUGUAUAAAUAACUAACUUCUAUUGUGGUUAACUUCCUUAAAAGAUAAAGAGGGAGGCCAGAAGCUUGCUUUUCCACACUCCUCAUUUGAACACUGAUAGAUCUGGGGCUGUGGAAAUCCCACUACAAGCCUGGAAAGGCCCAGGGAUGUUGAUUGUUGGGCCACUGAUUUACACAAGUUAGAUCAGGCUGGGUGUUUUUGCACAGAGUACCUACAAAAUACGAGUUUUCAACACUUUUGAAAUGGUCUCCAACUUCUGAGCUCUCUGGCAGUGUAAACUUUGUUGUGCAAGUAAGGUGACCAUUCAGAAUAUAAAGAUCAUCAGAAUGACUGUAUUUGUUCAAAUUAAAGGUACAUGUAAGUUGAGGCUCAUGUUCCGAGGCCAGUAGCAGGUGCUCUAACUGCUAGACAAACAUACAGUGAAUCAAGCAGUCAAUGUUAAUCAGUAAAUGGACGCUCAGACUCUAUUGAGGACCUUAAUGCUUGCUGACUCCCAGCAUAUUCAGUGGACAGCUCACCUCGGACUGGCUGUAUCCCUGCUUUGUCCCAUCCUGCAAACACCAGAUCAUACUUACUUACCAAAUUAUUUAAGGCCAUUUUUAGUUUGGCUAUGAUACCUCUAUUUGCAAAGCAGGUUAGAAGUUUCUGACCAGACAGCUGGAAGAUGUGUAUGUUCUGCAAGGCUGAUACUGCUGAGGUAAGCAGGAUUAUCUGUUUCACACUUGGGCUGACUUUAUCUUCUAUGCCAUGCAUCAAUGCUUAUCUGCUUUCCAUAUUUGCCAUUAUAUGCAUUCAGUGUGGCAGAUAAAAUAACAGCGUUAUAGUUAUUAAAGCUGUGUGUAACCUCUUGUGCUACAGAGCCAGCUCUUCCUGCAGUUGCAGGUCGGUGCAAGAACAAGCGUGCUGCAGAGCUGCACAUGGUUCCCCAUGUAGGGAAUCAAAGAGUGGGACAUAUGUCACAGUCUGUGUAAUGGGAAUUUGAGUGUAAGCGAUAUCCUCUUCCUGUUAGACUGAGUGAACAGAAAGGUCUUGGAAGUUUGUCAGGUGAUAAGAAGUUGAGAAACAGAGGCGGGGCUUCUAGAGGCAUGUGGUGUGGAGGAAUGAAUGGGUUUGUAUGAAACUCUGAAGGAGGCUCAGCAGGUCCUGUGUCUGCCUUUGCCCCAGAUUCCUGCACAAUGAGAAGAAAUGCAACAUCUCUUGGUUGUGAUGUGAGGUGGUACAGGAGGGGGGUGAAAUAUCCCUUCUACUUGGGAAUACACUCAAGACUGCUGUCACAGUUUUCUGGGGGUUGCAGGAAUAGUGAUUGUGGCAGGAGACCCAUUGGAAUACAUGUCAGAAUUCAGAGCCUGGACUGAGACUGUGGUCAUCUCUUUCUUUGCUCACACUGUGCACAUAAGAAAUGAGAGAAGUCAAGCCCCUUCAGAGAAAAGUGGCACUUUGUAUAUUGAACAAAAUACCAUUCAGAAAUACCACCAGUAGGUCAGAUCUAAUUUUUUUAUAUCUUUCUGUUCUGCUACCUCUUUUCCUUGCUUUCUUCUGCUUUGCCAGCAGUGUUUUCCACUGAAAGACUUCCAGUGUUUGGACAGUUUCAUAUUUAUGCUGACAAACCCCACAGGCCUGUGGUGUGAAUGAGGCACGUAUAAAAUGCUAUGUAGUAGGUUGUCAGCCAGGGUUUUUGGUUGCUUAAAAAACCCUUCAGAACUGAAGCAUUGACCGUCAUUUGCCAGGCACUAUCUAGUUUUGAAAUACUGACUACACAGUAUGAGAGUUUUGGUAGAAACAUCACUGCAUUAAAAUUGAGGCAUACCAGAAGAAAAAAGAGAUGAAAAAACCCCCCAAAGUUUCCUGGUAGAUGUAAAAUAAGAUGAAAAUUCUUGUUGCUGGAGAUUCACUAUGACCAAUGAAAAAUGCAACGUCAUCAUGGAGGUCUGACACAACGCAUUUAGGACAAUGCAAAUGUUAAAGUAUGAUAAGUGCUUAAAUGGCAGGCCAGUCAGAGACGGGGCAAGAGACUCAUAUCUGCAUGAGAACUCCUAGAAGUCUUCUGGAAAUGUCUAGGAUGGUGUUUUAAUGGGCCAUGAGUAUACAAAUCCCUAAGGUAGUGCCGAAAAUUUUGGCCUUGUAUAAUGCUGGACAUACUACACACAAAAAAAACAUCAAGUGUAUUCCUUUGCAGUAGAACCAGAGAUUCUUUGAGGAAGAGAAACUUUGUUCUAGCCUUGGAGUUUUCUAUACCUUGAUGAGUUUGUAAAAGCUGUAUGUUUAAAUUCAAGAUUUAGAUUAAAUGUAGAACAGAAUGAUUCAAUAUAUUCUAUGCAUCAUUUAGCCAUACAAGUCACAGGUUUUAAGUUAUAAGCCAAUAAAUAUGAAGACACCAGCAAGAAAACAAUGGAUAGCCUUUUGCAUAUUGUUGAAAAACGUGGAUAAAUAUGCAGGCAGCAGUGUUUUUACAAAAGCUCAGACAGUCGCUACUUUCCAGGUGUUGCCCUUGACGACAGUGAUAGGGUCCCAAAGGAAGAAGCAAUGUUCCUAGACAUACUGGAGGACUGUUUCCUUACAAGGUUUGUUUAGCAAUCAACAAGAACAGACAGUGUUUUCACUAUGUCCUAGGAAGUGAGCCAGGUAUAAUAAAUAAGUAAGGAGCUGGUAAACAUCCAGGGUCUCCUGUUCACAGUAUCAUCAGAAAAGCUCCUGGGGAUAUGUGCAGAAGUCAGCAGCACAGAAAUAUUGGCAGUGUGGGAACAAAGAGUAAGGUAAAGAAAGUUGACUGAUGUUGCCAGAAGAAACAUCUUGUAAAAGUGGAAGACAUGAAAGAGAAAGUCAGAAGUGAUUUCAUUUCAACAAAUAAAAGCGAUGUUACUUUAUACAUGCAACAUAAGGAGCAAAUUCUAAACAAAUUUGUAAAGAAAAAUAUCAAUUUUAUGUAUGCAAGUUUUGUCUUGUUUACAAGCAUUAUGUAAAUAUGGCUACACAUCCAGAAAUCAAACAUAGGCUUGGGGCAAAUGCACAGUUUGGGUUGUUUGGGUUUUUUUUCAUUCUCAUAUAAUGACUAAAGACAAUGUCAGCAGUUGGAUUUGCUUUAAUCUAUCUGUAUGUAUCAUAAAAGAACAGUGCAUUCCUUUGCCCCUGCUGUGAGAAAAUUGCAUUUUUUCGCUAAUUAAAAACUACUGCUGAUAUCCUACUUGAUAUAGCUGAUGUCUUUUUUCAAGUCCUUUGCAACUGUUGUGGUCAUGGCUAUGGGAUGAUUCGGCAGUAGAGA